AGCCGGUUUAUCUUUUUAUGUUGUACAGUUUGUUAGUUUACCGUAAAUAUGUCUUGAUUUGUACUCAAGAGUGGAGCAAGGCCCUAUGGAACAGAGAUUGACGCAUCGUGAGCGAAGAACAGACGCGAUGGAUGGUUAGGCUGCUUGACUCUCGGCUGUACGACUCUCGGCAUGUUAGGACUGGCAAAGUUCCGAAUUUGUCGCGGUGUGGUGUACGCUUCUGUGCUCGUCAAGUGCCGUCAGAGCGCGGGGAUGUUUGAACGGAAUGUGUCCCUUCGUCUACAAAACUCUGCACGCUGCGGCAUCGAAGUCCUGUGUACGGGUGCACGUAUGCGCUUGGAUACGGGAUAGCCUGCCCUCAACGGAUGUUCAACAGUGUACGCACGCUGCGCGUACGCGUACGUAUGAGACUAGUUGCUGGUGUCCUGCUGGAGCUGAGAAGACAUCUGCUGCCUGCCAUGAGACCAUGUCUCUCAAGUUACCGCAAUAUUGUUGCCUUCAAACCUGUCGAGACAAGGUUUCUUUACAUGGCCAUGGCGCUCAAGGAUGAAACCGAGACUGUAGACUGCCAACGUUCAUUCCUGUUCCGGCAAAGACGGGCCAGCAGUAACCAGCAGGAUUUUACAAAGUGAACUCAUCACAGCUUGAGCCACUCCAUGCCACAAGCAGUUGCUCCUCGAGCCACCGUGCAAAGGUUCCUUGGGGCACAAGUCCAACUCAGCGCCACAACCUUUCUUCUGCAGUUUUUCUACCUACUUAGCUAACCAGCAGCAAGUUUAUCCUUGCAAGGCAUGUGGGAACAGCUUUCACCAGGAAACAGUGCAAGACGAGUGGUCGAAGAAAAUAAAAUUGCUUCUGUGAUCUAAAGUACUUGACGAAUAAAAUUUUGCACUUAUUUGUAUAUAUGUCGUGCAAUUCAUUCAUAUCACAAAAAGCAAAGUGUUUGAUCUUUUGAGCUAUUUCAAUGUGUUGGCCAGACAGUUUUCUCCAUAGCGACCUGCUGCUUCUGCAAUGAGCUGCAUUCAUGACAUUUGCAUUAAAGGAUAUGUACUAUCGGGGACAAAAGUGCCCAGGACGUGCGAGUGUCGACCAAAUUGCAUCUCUGCACUAUCAGCCGCUAUCGU